CCACCACCGCCUCCCCAUCCGCCGCUCCCCGCCGCCUCCCCAUCCGCCGAUCCCCGUCGCGGCCGUCGUCCUCACCGGCGAGCCGCCGUCGCCCGAUCUGGGUAAUCAAGGGCAAGGACGAGCGGUGAGGUAAGGACGAGCGGUUCGAUCUGACACGGCCGCGCUCGCCUUGUCUUCGUCGGCUCCGGUGAGGCAGGGCCAUGGGUGUCGCACCACCACCCAUCUCACCGCUUGCAGCACCGCUGCGUCGUGCUGUCGCAUGGAGAAGCGCGGCUGGUGGCCGGCAGAUGCAGAGUAGCCUGUUUCUCCCAGAGCCAACCUUAUCUCCACCCUGUCCACUCAAUUGAUGACCAGCCACGAGCAUCCAAUCCCCUCCCCUUCGUGUCCUCCCCAGGCCCAUCCUGUUCGGCCGCCGCCGCCACUCGCGCCUAGCUGCUGAUCUUCUCCAUGGUGAACAAGGAGAGGCUACGAGCAGCAGUGCGAUUUGGCCGGAGGAGAUGGAGCUUGAUGUGUGGAAGAUGAAGACCGAUGCGAGGGCUCAGCCUCCACCGCCGCCCUCCUCCCCCUCGCCGUCGAGAUCGCGCCGCCGCAGCAGAUCGCGGGUGAGACGUAACUCAGCGGGUGCUUGGCUUCGAUUUGGCCGGAAAGACGCCGGCCAACAGCACAACGGCCGGCCCUCCUCCGUCUCUUCAUUUUUUCAAAGACCUACAGGUUGAACUACAUGCCUAGCCGUGUCCUCAGUAUAUCCAACAAAUAGCUCUACUACCCUGAGUUGUAUGCAGGAGCACUGUGUUUUGGUUUUCUAUGCUGGGAAGUAAUGAUGUUGCUAUAUUUAUCUUAGCCAUGCACAUCUCUAUGACCAAUGCUUUAAUUUCAGUCAUUUUAUUGUCUGUUCAUGGACCUUCCAAUCGUCCGUUUGUGAUGGUUCCAUGUGGGAGAUUAUUGUAGUUAGAAGGUAGAAUGUAAAAAGGCACAGAUGUGGACGCCUGAGUCGUUCACGGUGGCGUCACAGUCAUCCUCGCCCUCGCCCUCGACGAGCACGAGCCGCCGCUAAACCACCUGAGUGAGAUCACCGUUAUAAAACAUAAACAUUGGCAUGAGCUCUACAGGAUCGUGCGCCAAGGCGCACAUCUAAACAUUGGCAUGAGCUCUUCUCCCACUUACUUCAGCCGUCGGCCUUUGACCUCUUCAUAUUUUUAGGAUGUUAAUUAACAACUCCGCCGCACCUGGGCGUAUGUCUCUGCCCUAUGAAUUGGUGUAUGCAGGGAAGAUUAUGUAGAAGAGGUUGUUUAGUUUUUGCUGGUUUGCAACACAACAUGAGCCUCUCACGAAGCAACUUUUCCUGCUGGAUUGGACAAUAUGUAUGGCUUCCCCCUCUUAGUCAUCUCUUUGUGUGAUUUCUCGUGAGUGGUGUGAGAUUGUUGUGAAAGUAUGUAAUCCUACAGUGUUACAGUCCACACAUUUGAGAUAUAUAGUUCUUUGGGUGCUAAUUUCUUGCCUAAUAGAGAUCACCAUGCAGAUUAUACAUUUGCGUGCCGUAAGCUAUAGAUCUCUGCUAAUUCUUAAAACCAAAUAAAUAUACUCUUUUAGCUAAGAUCUUUAUUUCUUAAAUGUUCCAGGCUAUUGUGUUCAUCUACCUAGCAUGCUUUGGAUUUUGUCAGUCAGAGUCAGGUCUCAUCACCUAAUGCAGUAGUCAAUUCCUUCUUCAUUCUACAUGCACAUCAUGUGCUUUGUGAAAAUUUCUAACGUCUUGUUGUUGUAUUAGGUCUGACAUCGGAAAAUAAAUCCGGCAGUAGCCACCAGAGAGGUUGUGCAUGCUAGGAACAUUGCAGUAGGUAGUAUCUCAAGCAAGGAUGGAGAGGCUAUGCAAAGAUCCAAUGCUAGCAGCUACAUUUUUAUUUCAGCAUGGACGGUGAUAAAUCAUUGAUUGCCUAUAUCUCUUUUGAAAGGUGCAAAGUUUUAGAUUUUUGAGCUACAUGUGUAUUAUGGAAAUUGUUAAUGUGCUCUGGGUGAAUUCUGGGGCUUCCCAUGGCCCUCGGAAUGGUGGCUGGCCACCUGAUCGAGGCUCCCGAGAGGAUCCCAGCUGUACAUUUUCUUCACCGUGUGAGCUAAAGAACCCACAACUCAUAUUUGAUUCGUAAGGUGGGUUUUUGUCUCCUGUUACUCUAAUAUGCCAAUGACACAUUAUUUAAUAUAUCCUUGCGGUUCUAUUCAAGUGCGGUCAGAGACCAAGGAAAAAAAGUAUGUGCUCCUUCUUACCAUCUACUUCAUGUUAUUUCACUAGGAUUAUUACUUCUCAUUUUACUACAGUUUUACAUCACUCAUCUGGUAUGUUGUCUGUUGAGUUGGCAUUAUCGGUUUGUUAGUUAUGCCUCGAGAAAAUCCCAUUUGCAUGAUUCCGUUGAUUUUUUUGUGUGUAAGGUGUCCUGAACCAAUACAAGAUCUGAGCUCUCAAAUGACAUAAAUUGGGAGUCAAACCUCACUUUGUCAUAGUUAUAUUGUUGAUCAAUUUGUAUUGUAAAGUUUAGCACUCUCUGUUAUAAUUGGUCAGGUUAUCCCAGGCAUAUGAUUUAUCUCUGUGUAGGUUCUUAAUUUUACCUUGAAGAAUGAGAUGAGCAUAAUCAAACAAUAUUAAUGAUUUUAGAUUCCCCCACUGUUAUUUAUUUGUGUCUAUAAAUUAUUGUGUUUCUAAAGAAGAAGAAAAAAAAGAAACUGAUGUUUCUGUUGCAUGUGGUUUUCAGACAGGGAACAAUGUUCUUUUCAAGAUGCAUGUAUCAUGUAUGCUCAGUAAUUUUGAUCUAACAACUUAUAUUGUGCACUAAAGGUAUCUGCAUUUAUUUAUUAUUUGCAAGAUCUGGCACCUGCAUUAUUAAUAUGCUGAAACACAAUAUUUGUAUUCUGAAUUUCAAACAUUCAAGCACAUUCUCAACUUUCCCUUUUUUUGUUUUUAUAAAUUCUUGAAGCAGGCAAUACGAUACAUAGAGGAAAUGGAUAGUACACUCCGAUCUGAAGCCUGCCAAUUUUGUGCUUAUAAAUGCAUCCGUGUAUUUCUGAAUGUGAGAAUGUGAAGCAACUUUGGGCAGUUUUCUAAAUUUUACAAUCAAUGUGAUUUCCAGAUGCAGACUUCUUUUUCUACAUGAAUAAUAAUUUAAUUAAUCAUACUUGAUCUGCUUUACAUGCUACAGAUUUGGCACAAGCACCUCCAGCAGAAUAACGAUCUCAUUUUGACUCUGUUUCGUAAAAUGCGCACUGAAGACGGUAAUGAGAAACAUGAACCUGGCAUCAUGAAGAAUUACCUGCUGAAGACGGUAAUGUUGCAGGCGUGGGAGAAGAGGAUGAACCAAUUGAAGCUGCCCACAAGCGUGGUGUGUGUACCCUGUCGGCAGACUUCGGCAACCGGCCGUGCCAUGCCGGUUGCAUCUGGUUUAGGUGGAUAUGAAAACCUUGCUAUGCUGCAGUCUACUGAGUAUUCUGGUAGUGUCUGAAGUUGACGUGGUGUUAUCCUUCCUCAGCGGGCUUCUCUCCGGUGGGAAGCCUCUAUUUUUAUCAUCCUUUCCAUUUUCUACUAUGUUUUUAACUUCAUGUAUUUGUAUAUUUUCUUCCAUGCUUGAAAUUGCAUAGGAGGUUAGCACUAACUGAAGUUGAGAGAGGGGACAUAACGUGUAGGUGUUCCAGAGUAUUUCUUAACAUCGUGAUAUGGAUUUUUUAGAUUAAAUAAAAAAUUAUUUAUAACCAAUGAUGGUUUUUUCUAUCGCUUAAUACAAAUAGAUAGCUUUUAGAUAUAUUAUGUCAACAUUGAGUUCAUAUUCAGUAGAUAUGCGUCUUAUUUUAUUUUUGUUGCACUGUCUGCGCCGCUAAAAAAGAUGGUAUGCAUGCCAACAAAAACUGCAGAACACCCUUCAUAAAGGAAAUAUAGUGUUAUAUUUUGGUAGUCUGAGAACAUGUCAUCAAUUGAUACAUUUGCAUGCGUGCAGUGCAGGUGUUUGCAUAUUGGUGUGUUGGGGUGAUCUCGGUGGGUGAAAGAAAAUUGUAUCCUCUCAUGGGGCUGCCGCCAUAGUCCAUUCAAUGGCAGUAUCCUUGCCGAUGUUGAUGUCCACGCCCAUAUACAGAGUCCACUUGAUUUUCUUCGCAGAGCAAAGGCGCUGAAGAGAUUCUCAUAGUUGAUCCUUUUGUGGGUGCUUGUUCGGUGGGUUACUGUUAAUUUGAUUUUUAAUUACUUUGACUGUAGACAUGUCCUGACAUUAGUGAUGAUUAUGGCACUAUGCUGCAAGCUUUGAUGCAUUUUUCCAAGAAAUGACCGCCGGACAUGUUUUCCAUAUUGUACUUACUAA